CACAGAGCCCGACCUGGGGCUCGAACUCACAGACCGUGAGAUCAUGACCUGAGCUAGAGUCGGCCGCAUAACCGACUGAGCCACCCAGGCGCCCCGACCACGUGGAUUUCUUAUCACCGUAGAGAGUGUUGCCACCGGAGACUGGAACGAUGUAAAGUGAUGAGACUCAGCCUCCAGCCCCAGCCCUGCCCCUUAGCAGCUGAGUGGCCAUGGCCCAGUCCCCUCCCCUGUCCCACCCAUACCCUCCUCAGGAAAGUGGGGACACCAGCACCGUGGGGCGAACUCACGGGAUGAUGUCUGUCCCCGCAACCUGUUUGAAAUCCAAAACGAACGCAUUUAAUCCACGCGGAAACGUCCGACACCGAGCCCGUUGGUAAAUGCUUUGUUGGUAAAUCAAGGUCAAGGGAUGCAGGGCGUUAGGCGGGUGGGAUUUGUGUGCCUGGCUGCGUGUUGGCCUAAGACACGCUCCCUGCGAACGUGCCUGGCUUGCGAGACGGCUGAGCACUCCUUGAAGGCAAUGGGGACCGAGCCCCAAAGAACCUAGGCGGGGAUGCUUUAGGCCCUCUUGACAAGGAGGGCUGGAAAACCCUUUCCAAGUUGGUGAUGAUGUCCUCAACCAGGUUCGCUUUGCCUGCAUGCCACGUAGCUUGACGCGGAAAAACAAACAAAACCAACAGAAGACAAAAGCCCCAUUCUGGAGAGCACGGGGUCCGAUGGCCUUUCCGCGAGAAGCCUGGCUUGGGCUUGGGAUUUCAGGCCGGUUUGUGAGGGAAGAAAAGGGCCUGGUCCCAUGGAAAUUUCCUAGUAGGGUUUAUUUGGAAGCGAAGGUUUGGCAGCGCUGACCCAGUCUCCUUGGCUAGACAGAGCCUCUUUGGAGAGAGUCAAAAACAACAGGAUGGAAAUGGUUCUUGAAUGAGCUGGUGUUAGUGGAAUCCUCUGCCUCCGAAAAGAACUGCCCGAGCCCAGGCCCGGCUUCCCUCGCUCGAUGGAAUUCAGCUCCACUCACCUGUGGUCAGCAAAACAACCCCCCCCCCCCCCCCCCCGCGCCAGACGUCCUUGCCCCAAUUCCCGGAACCCGUGAGUAUGUGACCUCACACGGCAAAAGGGACUUUGCGGACGCGACUGGCUUUGGGACCUUGUGAUACGGAGGUCGUCCUGGGUGGCCCAGAUGGGCCCAAGGUAACCACUGAGUCCUAAAAUUCCAGAACCUUUCCAGCUGGGAUCAGGGAAAGAGAAGAAGGCUCGGGAAGAUACUUCCUGGCUGUGAACACCGCUGCAAGGGCCAGGAGCCCAGGAAAACACCCAGCUACAAGCUAGAAAGGCAGGGAGUGGGGUGGUCCCCUGGAGCCCCCUUGAUUGAGCCCAGUGAGACCUGUGCUCAACUUCUGACCUCCGGGAUGCGGACAGUCGGCGUCGUUUGAGCUGCUACGUUGGCAGAAACUGGUUCCAGAAGCAAUAGAAAAUCGAACCGUCCCCUUGUCCGGGCGCCUACUGUGUGCCUGCUGGCUGGGAGGAGGUCCCUAAUCCUCUCGGCCGCUCAGGCCUUGCAGCUCGCGAUCGUGUCGCCGCGGAGGAAGCUGAUGCUCAGUGACGUGACCUCCAGAGGCCCAAGCGGGGAGUCCAGCCGCCCUGAGCCCCCGGCGGCUCCCAGGCAGGAUGGGCGUGCGAGGGGGACAUUUUCUUCUCGGCUGCCGCUGUGAAGCUGUGAGGAAGGCCGGGAACCAGGGCGUUCUGCCAGACGCCAUCCUGGUGGAUAAAGGCCACGAGGUUCCUGCUGGCGGGACGGGAGGCAAGGCCCCUGGCCCGUCGCGUAGACCCUGACUGCUGGCUGUGUGACCUCAGGCUGGUCCCCAAACCUCUCUGGGCAGUGUGUUCUUUGGACCCCACGCGGGGCCAGCCUCCAGGGAGCGCGUGAGCCAAUCCGGUCCCGGUCCAGGGGACUGGCCGGGCUGGUGCUGCCGUGGGGUCUGUGCACGUGGCCUGGAAGUCACACGGGGCCCUCUCGACAAGGUCAAGCCAUGCUGCGAUCCGAUAGGCAAAGGCACCUGUUUCUUUCUGCCGGGAGUUCCUGCUCUCACCGCCUGUCCUUGACUCGGCCUGGGUGCGGGGCUGGCGCUGGGAUGCUGGGCUCCGUCCCCGGGUCACGGCCCAGCCCUGGCCUGGCUUUGCCAGCGGGCAGCUGGCUGACCUCUGGCCGGCCGCCCCCGGGAGGGAAACACGCGGAACGUAUGUUUGUGAGGGCGGGUGGGACAGCCCAGGGGUCCCCGGCUGUGCCUGGCUCUCCCCCCUCCCCCAAAAUGGCCAGGGGGGCCGUCAGCAUGAGAAGGACGUGUCCUUCAGAAAGACAGGUUUACCCCCAAACCUGUGAGUGCCCUGAUUUGGAAAUAGGGUCUUUGCAGGUGUCCGGGGGAAUGGGGUCGUGCUGGAUUAGGGUGGGCCUCGAUCCAGUGACGGGGUCCUCGUGAGAAGAGUGGAACUUGGACAGACACACCGGGAGGAGGGCAAGUGACACUGGAGGUGUAGGUGGAGGUUGGAGUGACAGGUCGGCAAGCCCAGAGACGCCGGGACUGCCGGGGGCGCCCGAAGCCGGGGCAGCGAGCGAGCAUCCCUGAGAGAGAGGGCCACCUGCCCGCGCCUUGACCUUAGACCCCCCGCCUCCAGAACUGCGCCUCCGCUGGGCUGAGCUCCCAGCUGGUGGCCCUUUGUUACAACAGCCCCGGGACCCGCCCGCGCCCACUGCCGCUGUCACCCUCCGGUCACCGCUCAGACGGACGCGAGAGAACGUGCUGGUCUCCUCCCAUCUGAACCCGUCCAAGGGCAAGGCUGGCCUCUGUCCACAGCUUAAGGGCUUCCUCCGUUGUUGGGGGCUAAGCUGCUCUUUUCUGAAGGGAAGGCGGCCGGCGACACCCCGUUUCCCAGAUGGAAAAACCAAGGCUCUCGGGGGGCUCCCCACGCCCACGCCGUCGCUCAGCUCUCCACAACCGCGUCUCCCGCUGCCCGCCCGGGUCAGCCUCCUUCCCGCCCAGAUGUUGGACCGAGUCCUCGGAGUUCCCGGCAGAGGGGAGAGGUCAAGAAAUUUCCGAGCUCAAAUGAGGACAGCCGCCUGGCUCUGUGACCUGCUUCGUGGAGAGCCUGGGAGGCGACUGUGGGGCAGCGAGCUGGUCGGUGACUCCAGCCCGGGCAGCGCGACCCGUUUCCCUGAGCUCACACCGCCCUCGGCCCUGUCGAAACAGAAGCGGGCUCCGUCCAGGCCUGAGGUUGUGGCCGCUGGACGCCUGGAGGCCGACUGGUCAGCCCAGCCCAAGCCGCACCGCCACUGAGAGCCACCAGAAGCCACAGGAGCCUCCCCACCCAGCGCUCCCGCCCCUGGGCUGGCCGCCCGCACAGGGACCCGGCCACCAAGGUGACGUAAGCGGCAGAAAUUGGUGCUCCUGGAGUUCUGUGAGCUGCUUCCGGAUGACCAGCGAAAGGCACGUGUCUGAGACAGAAGGGGUGCGUGAGCCUGAGCAGAGGAGAUGGGGUUCCAUCCGAGGAGGCACAGACCCUCUUCAGCAGCUGAAAGACUGAAUGAGAACCCGCAGUCUGGCUUACGGCGCCCGUCAGCCGAGACGACCGUGGGAUACAGAGCCACCAACAGACACGAGCCCUGAAGACUGUAAUUCACAAAUCAGAAGCCCCCGCCCCCGAGGUUUAAAACCACUGUUUUAAUGCUGUCGAAAGAACCUGUUUUCAAAUGAAGCUCCACAGGGACCACAAGCACCUGGCCGUGCACGCCGAUGGCCGGAACGUCUCCGCUGAGCCUGCAGGCCCUCCUGCCCCACUCAGCGGCCCUCCGCGUCCCCUCCAGGCUCUGCAGCAAGCCUGGAUCCAGGGUCUGCGGGGGACUCCUGGCUGAGCUGUAAGGGCCUCAACCGCUCUGCUUACCUAGAGGAGGUCUCACACCUCAGAGAAAGAACCUCAACCCCAACGCACAGGUUCUGAAUCCAGCGGCCUUCGGGACGUCGAGGACCGAUGGCAGUUCACGGCGUCAGGUCUUUAUUCUGAGGGAAAUUGCUCCCACACGGAGCCCAAUACAGCACCUUGGUUUUGUCGACACCGCACAAUACACCCGGGCCGGGCUCCCUCCCUGACCCCUGAGCCCGAGCCGAGGACACCUCGCUUGCGCAGUCACUUCCUCCCGGGUCAACGACCCACACCUGGUGGAACCAGUGCGGUCACUAAGGAGCUCUCCCUCCCUGCCGCACAGACAUGCAGGACCUUGACCCUCUCCAGGCUAGAAAGAUGCUAGCCUCGGCUUCUGUGUGUAAUUACAGAACAAGUAGCGAACUGUGAAGCUAGAAAGAACUCAGAGAUCAUAUCUAACCUCAAUUUAGCCCACUGAAGUUCAAGUAGUUGCUUCUGGUCAAAAGACAACGGAAAAGAUUAGUUACGUGGUGAAAUCUAGAACCAGAUCUCCCAGCUGUCAGUCUGAUCUGCAGAGAAACAAAGCACUUAAACCAGGAGGGACUUGACAAAUCACUCAGGGACACCUCUACAUUUGCACAAACAGCCCGAUGGGAUGGAUUUUCAUUUCUGCACGGAAACCCCACUUUGAGCAAUGUUUAUGCUCCAGUUCAGACAUGAAGCAAGCAGGGUGCCCGCUGGGUGCGGUUGGGGAGGCGCGUGACCCCUGAUCUCGGGGUCACGAGUUUGAGUUGCAUGGUGGGCGUGGAACCCGCUUUACAUAAAGAAACAGGGGCGCCUGGGUGGCUCGGUCGGUUCAGCGUCCGACUCGACUUUAGCUCAGCUCACGACCUCGUAGUUCACGAGUUUGAGCCCUGCGUUGGGCUUUGCGCUGACAGUGUGGAACCUGCUAGGGAUUCUCUCUCCCCCUCUGCUUCCUUUCUCCACUUGUCUUUGCUCGCACACUCUCUCUCUCUCUCUCUCAAAAUAAACAAAUAAACUUAAAAAAAAAAAAAACCCAACACAAAAAUGCUACACGUCUGUACCAGGAGUUAAUAAAAGCCCGAGGUCAGAGGAACAGCACCUUCGCCACGGGGUCUGUGGUGCCCCACGACCAGACACGAGAGGGGAUGAAGGGCGACCGUGGGUACUCACG